UACAGAGGUGGCAAGCGUUGUUCGGAAUUACUGGGCGUAAAGGGCGCGUAGGCGGCCAUCUAAGUCAGACGUGAAAUCCCCCGGCUUAACCUGGGAACUGCGUCUGAUACUGGAAGGCUUGAGUAUGGGAGAGGGAUGUAGAAUUCCAGGUGUAGCGGUGAAAUGCGUAGAUAUCUGGAGAAAUACCGGUGGCGAAGGCGGCAUCCUGGACCAUUACUGACGCUGAGGCGCGAAAGCUAGGGGAGCAAACGGG
rnacentral:rRNA from 1 species